rnacentral:rRNA from 1 species
UGGGGAAUUUUGCACAAUGGGGGAAACCCUGAUGCAGCGACGCCGCGUGAUUUAGAAGGCCUUCGGGUUGUAAAAAUCUUUUCUAUGGGAAGAAAAUGACAGUACCAUAGGAAUAAGGACCGGCUAAUUACGUGCCAGCAGCCGCGGUAAUACGUAAGGUCCGAGCGUUGUCCGGAAUCAUUGGGCGUAAAGGGUACGUAGGCAGGUAAGCAAGUUAGAAGGGAAAUCCUAUAGCUCAACUAUAGUAAGCUUUUAAAACUGCUCAUCUUGAGGUAUGUAAGGGAAAGUGGAAUUCCUAGUGUAGCGGUGAAAUGCGCAGAUAUUAGGAGGAAUACCGGUGGCGAAGGCGACUUUCUGGCCAUAACCUGACGCUGAGGUACGAAAGCGUGGGUAGCAAACAGG